GACGAACGCUGGCGGCGUGCUUAACACAUGCAAGUCGAACGGAAAGGCCUGUUCUUCCUUGUGGUUUCCGGGUACUCGAGUGGCAAAAGGGUGAGUAACCCGUGCGUGAUCUGGCCCCUAGUCGGGCAUAAGCCUGGGUAAUUGGGCCUAAUUUCCGAUAGGACUGCAGGGUGGCGAUCGUGGUGGGAACUGUUUUUUUUGUGGAUGGGGAUUAGCUUGCGGCCUAUCAGCGUGGUGGAGGGGUAAUGGCCGACCAAGGCGGCGACGGGUAGCCGGCAGGGGAUGGGGGACAGCCACAUUGAGACUGGGAUACGGCCCAGACUCCUACGGGAAGCAGCAGUUGGGAAUAUAUCACAAUGGGCGUGAUCCUGAAGCGGCGACGCCGCGUAGAAGGUGACGGCCUUCUGGUGGUAAUCUCCUUGCGACCACAAGGAAGCCACCUGGUUGGAAGGGUGAUGACGGUAGUGGUAGAAGAAGCACCGGCUAACUACGUG
rnacentral:rRNA from 1 species